AGUGAACGCUGGCGGUAUGCCUAAUACAUGCAAGUCGAACGGAAGCACAGUAAGCUCUUGCUCUUACGGGUGGCGGGUGGCGGACGGGUGAGGAAUAGAUCAGAAUCUACUUCUUCGUGGGGGAUAACGGAGGGAAACUUAUGCUAAUACCGCAUAUGACGUACGGGUGAAAGCAGUGGAUCUUCGGACUUUGGGCGAUUGAAUUAGCUGAUGUCGGAUUAGCUAGUUGGCGAGGUAAGGGCACACCAAGGCGACGAUGCGUAGCUGGUCUGAGAGGAUGAUCAGCCACACUGGAACUGAGACACGGUCCAGACUCCUACGGGAGGCAGCAGUGGGGAAUCUUCGACAAUGGGCGAAAGCCUGACCCAGCCACACCGCGUGAGUGAAGAAGGUCUUCGGAUUGUAAAGCCCUGUUAUUGGGGAAGAAAAGAAGCAGAUUAAACCACCCAUGUUUUGACGGUACCCAAACAAUAAGCCACGGCUAACUACGUG
rnacentral:rRNA from 1 species